AUUUUUAUAUCAUGUCUGCCAUGUUAAUUCACUCCCCAAAACUAACCAAUAAAACCACUUCAUCUAUCUUGUCAGUGAUUCUCAGUCCUAAAAUAACUAACGAUGAAGGGAAUGUUACAAGAGGAGAUACUUGUAUAUCCAUACUUGUCAGUCACAGUCAGAACAAGUAAAGUCAAAGAAUGUAAAUAAUCAAAACAUAGAUUUUCACUGAAGCAAAUAUCUACAUCAGAUCUUACGUAUAUAAUUUUUCUCAGCUAUAUUUAACGAAGUAUUAGUCAAAACCCAUUUGCAAUUUUACUGGUGAAAAUCGUAGAACCACCACCAUUUUCCUUAAUCUUUUGGGAUAUUAUUUCCAAUACCUCACUUGCAUCUUUAGCAGCAGAAAUUCGACUAAUCAAUUCACCAUUUAACAACUCUGAUUGCACAUUGUUUUCGUCAUCAGCCUCACUCAACGAAGGUUUCAGCUUCAAGUUAAAGGUUUUCGGGGAACAAUAGUGAGAAGAAGGGAGUUUUUUCGAGAAAUAAAUUUGAUAGACGGCAGAAGGGAGGAGAAAAUAGUAAUUUUGGGAACAGUGGGAAGGGAAAGAGAAGCGGGGAAAGGAAGGAGAAAACAAGGAGAGAGUCAUGUGGGAUUUUUCUGUUUGGAUAAUGGUGAGAUUGUUUGUCGAGGCUCACUGUAUGUGUUGAAGCUGGAGAUUAGGAACGAGAGGUUGUUAUUGGUAGGGAACAUUGGAAUAAAAAGGACGGGGCCCAAACAAAGAAUAAUGGAGGUGUCGCUCUAUACAGCCGCUUAUUUUUAGGCUAUGAUUUGUAUGAGUUAAUUUGUUGGCUAUCGGUUAAAAUUUGUUUUGCCCGACGAACUAUAAACGAAUUUUAUUCCUUUUGAUAUGGUUACAUUAUUUUAGGGUUUUUAUAAGUUUUUAAGGCUAAGAGGAGUUGUAAAGACUAAUGGGCCGUUUACGUAUGUUUUUGAUAUUUUUUCGUUCUUAU
rnacentral:lncRNA from 1 species